UACGGGGGGGGCAAGCGUUGUUCGGAAUUACUGGGCGUAAAGCGCACGUAGGCGGCUUCUUAAGUCGGUGGUGAAAUCCUGGAGCUCAACUCCAGAACUGCCUUCGAUACUGGGAAGCUCGAGUCCGGGAGAGGUGAGUGGAACUGCGAGUGUAGAGGUGAAAUUCGUAGAUAUUCGCAAGAACACCAGUGGCGAAGGCGGCUCACUGGCCCGGUACUGACGCUGAGGUGCGAAAGCGUGGGGAGCAAACAGG
rnacentral:rRNA from 1 species